rnacentral:lncRNA from 1 species
GGCAGGGUGGCAGGGCCUGGGAUGGCAUGGUAUUGGAGAGGAAGUUCCGGCCCCAGCAGUCCAGUGCAGAGGGCUGACCCAGCUUCCAGUGGGGCAGGAAGCUCUGUCCCUGCCACCGUGUCCUCAGCCCCUGUGCAUGGAGUGGGAGCUGAGUCAACACUGUCCAGAGAACAAAUAUUUGUCCAGUGGACCCGUGUUUGCUGAUUGAACAAAUGUUUGUUCAAAGGACACCAUUGUUCUUGGAAGAGCGGUUGCUGAGCCACAGGCCGUGUGCCCCUCUCCGAGGCUCCUGCAGUGGAAGGUGCGGGGUGGAGCCCCUGGUGUGGCCUUGGACGACCGGCACGCACUCCCCGACACCCCAGUGCUUCAAAGUCCAGGUGCCGCGGCCCCCACCCAAACUCAGGUCCUCGGGACCCCUCUGCCCGGUGGCACAGUGGGCUCCCCAGGCUCAGGGGCUCAGCUCCCCAGGCAGGGAUCCCGACCUCCUGCCCAUCAGCCGUCAGCCAGCGGCAGCCGUAGCUUUGCAGGCGCUCUGGCCAGAGCUUGCCCUUGACCUGUGCUUCCCACACGUGCAGCCGACCAGCAAUCAGCAGGCCCCAGGCCCCCGCCGCUCCCCACCUCCGCGGCGGCCACCCUGUCUCAGGGGGAACUCGGGACCCUCUCCGUGGCUGUCCUGCUCUUGCCCUUGCCUCGCUUAAGUCUCUUCUCAAAACGGCGGCCAGAGGAUGGACAGUGAGCCGGUCCUCUGCUCUGACCCUUGCCCUGUCAUUCACGCUAUGAGUGGCAGUCCUGACGGUGGCUGGCCCGUUCCCGUGUGACCAGUCCCCCGCUCCUCUGACCUCGCUUCUCCCCACUUCCCCUUGCUGGCCUUUUGCUGUUCUACAAUGGUGCCAAGUGUGUUCCUGCCUCAGGGCCUUUGCAUGUGCCAUGAGCACCUUUCACAGAGUAGCAAAACCUCCAGUCUCUCCCCAGUUCAGACUUCCCUCUCGCAUGCACUGUGCCUGCCGCUUUCUAUGUUGACUGUCAGUCCUCCUGACGAGGCACAGGAUCCGGAAGUCAGAAACUCAAGUUUGUUUCCUACCCGAGCCCAGGUGCCUCUGAUGGAGCCGGGAGGGGAAGAGGUUUUCUUUGUCUGAAGAAAAACCGACCUGGGACAGGUGUCGUGGCACAGUGGGUGAAGACGCCAUGCGGGACACACCUGACGAGUGCCUGGGGUCGAAUCUUGCCUCUGCUUCCCAUCCAGCUCCCCGCUGGUGCACCUGGGUGGCCGCUGCGGCUGAGGAGGCCUGGCCGGCUGCACUCGGAGCUCCGCUGGGUCUGUGACCACCCCGGGUGACUCCCCGUGCAGGUGUGCACGGACGCUCACUCCCAGGCAUGUGGCUAGUGUGCCUGUGCACACUAGGGGUGCAGGAGCGUGUGGGGAGCACUCGGGGGCUUUAGGACCCUUAUCUUCCCAGGGGUUCCUGUGCCUUCCAGGGUGGAU